rnacentral:misc_RNA from 1 species
UGAGUUUCUAAGUUGUACUUGCUUUGUGUAGGGAGAGAGAUGGGGAGGCCUAUUGGAUUAUUAGCGAUGAUGGCAGUGGCUGUCAUCAUGGUUGCGGUGUUCGCUGAAGCGCGGCUUCUUGAGAAAGAUAACUUCCUUGGCAGAGGCGGCUUAGGUGGAGGUGCUGGGGGCGGUGGCGGUCUUGGUGGUGGUGGUUUAGGAGCUGGUGGUGGACUUGGCGCUGGUGGAGGUGCCGGCGGAGGAGCCGGAGGUGGCUUAGGGGGUGGAUCUGGUGGAGGCCUAGGUGGUGGAGGUGGAGCAGGGGGAGGAACUGGCGGUGGUUUAGGAGGUGGAACUGGUGCAGGACUCGGAGGAGGUGGUGGUUUAGGAGGUGGAGCUGGCGGAGGUGCUGGCGGGGGUCUUGGUGCUGGGGCAGGAGGAGGAGUUGGAGCUGGCGGAGGUGCUGGUGGGGGUCUUGGUGGUGGGGCAGGUGGAGGAGUUGGAGCUGGCGGAGGUGCUGGUGGGGGUCUUGGUGGUGGGGCAGGUGGAGGAGUUGGAGCUGGCGGAGGUGCUGGUGGGGGUCUUGGUGGUGGGGCAGGU